GGAGAUAUAGCUCAGUGGUAGAGUGCUUGCCUAACAUGCAUAAUGCCUUGGGUUCAAUUCCCAGUUAUCACCU
rnacentral:tRNA from 1 species